UAGGAAUAAAAGUGGGGUCCUGAA
rnacentral:piRNA from 1 species